rnacentral:rRNA from 1 species
GACGUAGGGCGCGAGCGUUGUCCGGAUUUAUUGGGCGUAAAGAGCUCGUAGGCGGCUUGUCGCGUCGAAUGUGAAAACCCGAGGCCCAACUUCGGGCUGUCGGCGGAAACCAGCCUGGCUAGAGUCCGGAAGAGGAGAGUGGAAUUCCUGGUGUAGCGGUGAAAUGCGCAGAUAUCAGGAGGAACACCGGUGGUGAAGACGGUCUCCUGGGCCGAGGCCGACGCUGAGGCGCGAGAGCGUGGGGAGCGAACCGG